rnacentral:rRNA from 1 species
ACGCGAAGAACCUUACCGGGGCUUGACAUCCUGCGCUAUCCUAGGAGACUAGGUUUUCCAGCAAUGGAACGCAGAGACAGGUGCUGCAUGGCUGUCGUCAGCUCGUGCCGUGAGGUGUUGGGUUAAGUCCCGCAACGAGCGCAACCCUUGCCGUGUGUUGGGUCCAAAGAUCUCUCACGCGGGACCGCCGGUGACAAGCCGGAGGAAGGUGGGGAUGACGUCAAGUCAGCAUGGCCCUUACGUCCCGGGC